AAGGAAUGCUGGCCCCCAGCUUGUGAAGUGCAAGCAUCCAAGACAGUGAAACAUCUCAAAGCCUUUCAGGAUCUAAUGAUGAAGAGGAUGUCACUGUUGGGUGUUCAGCAGAAGGAAGGCUGAGGAGCUCCCAGACUGAGCGGGGCUUUAAGUGCUGUGCUGAGGCAUGCCUCCUGAAGAGGAAGUGUUUUCCCCCACUGUCAACCUCUUUGCAUCCAUUGUAAUGCCAUACAACUGACCUAGAAGCUGAAAGAAGCACUAUACAUGCCCUGGCCCUCUCCUGGUGUGUUCCAGUUGGUCUCCAGCUAGGGCUACACUGCUUACUCAUGAUGCAACCUCUGCAGUUCCCACAGGCCUACCAUGCAUGCUCUUUUUCUGCUCUGAAAGGAAAAUAAAACAUAAAGAAGGCAAGUCA
rnacentral:lncRNA from 1 species